rnacentral:rRNA from 1 species
GGCCCUAUUCAUGCAAGUCGAGCGAACAGAUAAGGAGCUUGCUCCUUUGACGUUAGCGGCGGACGGGUGAGUAACACGUGGGUAACCUACCUAUAAGACUGGGAUAACUUCGGGAAACCGGAGCUAAUACCGGAUAAUAUUUCGAACCGCAUGGUUCGAUAGUGAAAGAUGGUUUUGCUAUCACUUAUAGAUGGACCCGCGCCGUAUUAGCUAGUUGGUAAGGUAACGGCUUACCAAGGCAACGAUACGUAGCCGACCUGAGAGGGUGAUCGGCCACACUGGAACUGAGACACGGUCCAGACUCCUACGGGAGGCAGCAGUAGGGAAUCUUCCGCAAUGGGCGAAAGCCUGACGGAGCAACGCCGCGUGAGUGAUGAAGGUCUUCGGAUCGUAAAACUCUGUUAUUAGGGAAGAACAUACGUGUAAGUAACUAUGCACGUCUUGACGGUACCUAAUCAGAAAGCCACGGCUAACUACGUGCCAGCAGCCGCGGUAAUACGUAGGUGGCAAGCGUUAUCCGGAAUUAUUGGGCGUAAAGCGCGCGUAGGCGGUUUUUUAAGUCUGAUGUGAAAGCCCACGGCUCAACCGUGGAGGGUCAUUGGAAACUGGAAAACUUGAGUGCAGAAGAGGAAAGUGGAAUUCCAUGUGUAGCGGUGAAAUGCGCAGAGAUAUGGAGGAACACCAGUGGCGAAGGCGACUUUCUGGUCUGUAACUGACGCUGAUGUGCGAAAGCGUGGGGAUCAAACAGGAUUAGAUACCCUGGUAGUCCACGCCGUAAACGAUGAGUGCUAAGUGUUAGGGGGUUUCCGCCCCUUAGUGCUGCAGCUAACGCAUUAAGCACUCCGCCUGGGGAGUACGACCGCAAGGUUGAACUCAAAGGAAUUGACGGGGGACCCGCACAAGCGGUGGAGCAUGUGGUUUAAUUCGAAGCAACGCGAAGAACCUUACCAAAUCUUGACAUCCUUUGACCGCUCUAGAGAUAGAGUUUUUCCCUUUCGGAGGACAAAGUGACAGGGUGGGUGCAUGGGUUGUCGUCAGCUCGUGUCGUGAGAUGUUGGGAUUAAGUUCCGCACGAGGCGACAACCUUAACUUUAGUUUGCCCAAGCUAUUCAGCUUGGGCCCUUUUUAAGUUUGGACUGGGC